UGAUGGAAUCAAUGGUGGUGGUGAAUGUAAUGCUGGAAUCAAUGGUGCUGGUAAAUUCAAUUGAUUCCAGCAUUACAUUCACCAGCAUCAUUGAUU
rnacentral:pre_miRNA from 1 species